GGGUGCAUGGUCUAGUGGUAUGAUUUUCGCUUCGCAUCCCCUCGAGAAUGCGAUUGUGAAAGGUCCCCGGUUCGAUCCCGGGUGCAUCCA
rnacentral:tRNA from 1 species